rnacentral:rRNA from 1 species
CACUGACAUUAGAUACCCGGGUAGUCCCAGCUGUAAACGAUGCGCGUUAGGUGUGUCAGUGACCACGUGUCACUGAGGUGCCGAAGGGAAACCGUGAAACGCGCCGCCUGGGGAGUACGGUCGCAAGGCUGAAACUUAAAGGAAUUGGCGGGGAGCACCACAACGGGUGGAGCCUGCGGUUUAAUCGGACUCAACGCCGGAAAUCUCACCGGAUAAGACAGCUGAAUGAUAGUCGGGAUGAAGACUCUACUUGACUAGCUG